rnacentral:rRNA from 1 species
ACGGGUGAGUAACACGUAUGCAAUCCACCUGUAACAGGGGAUAACCCGGAGAAAUCCGGACUAAUACCCCAUAAUAUGGGCGCUCCGCAUGGAGAGUUCAUUAAAGAGAGCAAUUUUGGUUACAGACGAGCAUGCGCUCCAUUAGCCAGUUGGCGGGUAACGGCCCACCAAGGCGACGAUGGAUAGGGGUUCUGAGAGGAAGGUCCCCCACAUUGGAACUGAGACACGGUCCAA